rnacentral:rRNA from 1 species
AUGCGCGUCAGAAUGUGAACUGCAGGACACAUGAACACCGACACGUUGAACGCAUAUUGCGCAUCGGACGUUUAAACCCGACCGAUGCACAUAUCCUUGAGUGCCUACCAAGUAAUUUGAUGACUUUAACCUGACUACAGUAGGAUGCCCCACGAACGGGCUGCCGGGCUAUCCGGCGCCUGGCAUCCACUGUGCAUAUUGGCGUGCUCGGACCCCGGUGUGGGCCCGUGGGCGCUGAAAGUGGACACUCUUGCGUACGUUUGGUAAACAACCACGCGGUGAGGUUAAGUGGACAGUAGAGGUGCGAGACGGUGCUCUACGGGGCGACCCAAGUCAUUGUAUACCGAAUGGCCACCGGAUGUCUAACACACCAGACACAGCCGGCUCGUCUAGUGGUCAAGCAAUACGGGUCGCGUAAUUCGUUCGUGCCUGAUCAACAAGUCCUUUUGCUAGUACACACCCCAACCACUGCUCCCGUUUAUCGAACGCUGCGCAGGUCCCACGUAGGCCUCAAGUGAUGUGUGACUACCCCCUAAAUUUAAGCAU